rnacentral:rRNA from 1 species
UACGUAUGGUGCAAGCGUUAUCCGGAAUGACUGGGUGUAAAGGGAGCGUAGACGGUUGUACAAGUCUGAUGUGAAAGCCCACGGCUCAACUGUGGGAGUGCAUUGGAAACUGUAGAACUAGAGUAUCGGAGAGGCAAGUGGAAUUCCUAGUGUAGCGGUGAAAUGCGUAGAUAUUAGGAGGAACACCGGUGGCGAAGGCGGCCUGCUGGACUGCAACUGACGUUGAGGCCCGAAAGCGUGGGGAGCAAACAGG